rnacentral:tRNA from 1 species
GCCUUCGUGGUGUAACGGUAGCACACUCGGCGUGUAUUUGAGAGGCCCAGGUUCGAGUCCUGGCUACAGCA